rnacentral:lncRNA from 1 species
CAACUCCAAGGUCUGCUGGAAGUUGGGAUCUCCCUGCAUAGUAGGCACAGCAGGUAUGGCUCCUGACGAGCCUCCAACAACAGACUGCUCUACCGGUGCAGGUACCAGUGCAGGAAUAGGAACUUCCUCCUGCCCGAGCUAGGGAUCUUGUCCCCUUUGUCGGGACGACUGUCUAGUCCCUCUACGGACACCACCACGCUUAGGGCCCAUCUUUACUGUCACAAGAAACAGAUUUUCAGGAAAACGAGGAUGCACGAAGUGCAAAGUCUACAGGAAAUUAAACCUAAUGCUCUGAUACCAAGUUGACAAGAUCCGA